GUGACUUUGACGACUUACACAUUCAUUUUAUGGUACAGAGACCAUCGGACUUCAGGAAAAAUUUCAGAUUCACAUCUGAAAAUUUUAGAGGCACUAUACAAUUUCUAAAUCAAAAUACAUUAAAGCAAUCCUGUGUCUACAUCCCUUGAAUGUCACUAAUGCCUCAGGAUCAUGUUUCACAUUUAAUUUGUUUCAGAAUGAUGCGCAAAAAAUUCUUUGCCCAAGAAUUGUUUGGACAGGACAAACACCAGAGACAGGAUGCCACUUCAUUCUUUGGGUUUUUGACAAGACAGAAAAACAAAUAAGGAUUUACCAUAACACCGAACAUUACAUUAGCAUUUCAGCCUCAGACAUGAACAUUCUGAGAGAUGCCUUUCGAAAUACAGACUCCCUGGAUGGGUGAACUGUGUGCAGUCUUCGGGUUUACCAUGCCUCCCGUUUGGUUGAAAAUCUACAUAUUGGGGAAUUACAACCUAAGAAAACAGUGCAUAAAGCUGUAAACACAUGUAUGGCCCAGGACUUUGAUGUUUGCAUAUUUCAAAAAAUCCGGACAAAAACAAUGCAUCCAGAUGUCAAAUCACUGCAAUGGAUUCAGUGCGACAGCUGUAAUAAAUGGUUGCACUAUAAGUGCGCUGGUAUUGAUCCGGUAGUGGUCACAGACGACAUGCCAUUCAACUGUGGAUUGGAUAUUGUUCAACCAUGUCCUUAUGAGAAGUUCCGUUCAUUGGUCUAUUCAGCUGUCAUUUCUCAUUUCUCCCCCGGUUACGUCAUUCUUACGUCACAUCCAAUAAGCAAAGACCACCCAUCAUAAAAGCGCGCGUCAGACCACUCACCAGCCCUCUCUUUUCCCUUUCUUAUCUUGUUUUCUUGUUGCGUUGCGUUACGAAAAGAACCAGUCUAACUGUGUAUUUUGUUGUUGCCCGUUUCUGUGUGCACGUUAUCCGUCCGUUAUUCGUAUAUCACUCCAUUUCUCCGUUUACGUUGUUUACGAGGCUUGGACGAAGCAGACAGGUAAGAAGGUCACGUGACAUACAUUUUGCAACACUUAGUACUACUCUUCUGUAUAGUACAUUAGGUUAGGGGCGAGCGCCACCCCUUGUACUUUUGGAUAGAUAGAUAGAAUAGACAGUCAGGACUCGGAAGACUCUUCGCGUGCUAAUUAUUUUGUCUUCACAUAGUUAGCUAGAUGCUUCUGGAAAGUUAGAUUUAGUUUGUGUUUUGUUCUUUUCGUUUCCUUAGCGCCGCCCACGUCCCUUCUGCCAGCUCUCCUGUUUUUCCCCGUCUUUAUAUUUGUCUCAGUGUUGUAAAUAUUGUAAAUAGUAUAUUUUGCCUUACUUUAUUUUCUUUAUUUUGGAAUUAUUCGUUGUUUUUGUUCACUUUUGGGAAAUAUAAAUAAAAUCACAAUUUUGGUAUUAUUUUGGUUGUCUUUUGCACUUAUUCACUGUUUGUAUAAAUAUAUUUUAAUUACACCUGAAUGUCAAACCCCACCAUCCCCUAGACUAACAUCAAGGGUUUGUAACAGCA